rnacentral:rRNA from 1 species
CCCAGACUCCUACGGGAGGCAGCAGUGGGGAAUAUUGGGCAAUGGGCGCAAGCCUGACCCAGCAACGCCGCGUGAAGGAAGAAGGCUUUCGGGUUGUAAACUUCUUUUGUCAGGGACGAAGCAAGUGACGGUACCUGACGAAUAAGCCACGGCUAACUACGUGCCAGCACCCGCGGUAAUACGUAGGUGGCAAGCGUUAUCCGGAUUUACUGGGUGUAAAGGGGGCGCAGGCGGCACGGCAAGCCUGAGGAGAAAGCCCGCGGCCCAACCGCGGGACUGCAUUGGGAACUACCGGGCUGGAGGGCCGGAGAGGUAGGCGGAAUUCCUAGUGUAGCGGUGAAAUGCGUAGAUAUUAGGAGGAACACCAGUGGCGAAGGCGGCCUACUGGACGGUGACUGACGCUGAGGCUCGAAAGCGUGGAGAGCAAACAGGAUUAGAUACCCCAGUA